rnacentral:rRNA from 1 species
AACGCGAAGAACCUUACCUGGGUUUGACAUGCACAGGACGCGUCUAGAGAUAGGCGUUCCCUUGUGGCCUGUGUGCAGGUGGUGCAUGGCUGUCGUCAGCUCGUGUCGUGAGAUGUUGGGUUAAGUCCCGCAACGAGCGCAACCCUUGUCUCAUGUUGCCAGCACGUGAUGGUGGGGACUCGUGAGAGACUGCCGGGGUCAACUCGGAGGAAGGUGGGGAUGACGUCAAGUCAUCAUGCCCCUUAUGUCCAGGGCUUCACACAUGCUACAAUGGCCGGUACAAAGGGCUGCGAUGCCGUGAGGUGGAGCGAAUCCUUUCAAAGCCGGUCUCAGUUCGGAUCGGGGUCUGCAACUCGACCCCGUGAAGUCGGAGUCGCUAGUAAUCGCAGAUCAGCAACGCUGCGGUGAAUACGUUCCCGGGCCUUGUACACACCGUAGUAC